UCGUAACAAGGUCUCCGUUGGUGAACCAGCGGAGGGAUCAUUACCGAGUUAUACAACUCCCAAACCCACUGUGAACCUUACCUCAGUUGCCUCGGCGGGAACGCCCCGGCCGCCUGCCCCCGCGCCGGCGCCGGACCCAGGCGCCCGCCGCAGGGACCCCAAACUCUCUUGCAUUACGCCCAGCGGGCGGAAUUUCUUCUCUGAGUUGCACAAGCAAAAACAAAUGAAUCAAAACUUUCAACAACGGAUCUCUUGGUUCUGGCAUCGAUGAAGAACGCAGCGAAAUGCGAUAAGUAAUGUGAAUUGCAGAAUUCAGUGAAUCAUCGAAUCUUUGAACGCACAUUGCGCCCGCCAGCAUUCUGGCGGGCAUGCCUGUUCGAGCGUCAUUUCAACCCUCGAGCCCCCCCGGGGGCCUCGGUGUUGGGGGACGGCACACCAGCCGCCCCCGAAAUGCAGUGGCGACCCCGCCGCAGCCUCCCCUGCGUAGUAGCACACACCUCGCACCGGAGCGCGGAGGCGGUCACGCCGUAAAACGCCCAACUUUCUUAGAGUUGACCUCGGAUCAGGUAGGAAUACCCGCUGAACUUAAGCAUAUCAAUAAGCGGAGGAAAAGAAACCAACAGGGAUUGCCCCAGUAACGGCGAGUGAAGCGGCAACAGCUCA
rnacentral:misc_RNA from 1 species